AGUGAACGCUGGCGGCAGGCCUAACACAUGCAAGUCGAGCGGCAGCGCGUCCGACCACCCUCGGGUGGUCGGAUGGCGGCGAGCGGCGGACGGGUGAGGAAUGCAUCGGAAUCUGCCUCGUUGUGGGGGAUAACGUAGGGAAACUUACGCUAAUACCGCAUACGACCUACGGGUGAAAGUGGGGGACCUUCGGGCCUCACGCGAUGAGAUGAGCCGAUGCCGGAUUAGCUAGUUGGCGGGGUAAAGGCCCACCAAGGCGACGAUCCGUAGCUGGUCUGAGAGGAUGAUCAGCCACACUGGAACUGAGACACGGUCCAGACUCCUACGGGAGGCAGCAGUGGGGAAUAUUGGACAAUGGGGGCAACCCUGAUCCAGCCAUGCCGCGUGUGUGAAGAAGGCCUUCGGGUUGUAAAGCACUUUUGUUGGGGAAGAAACCGGCCGGGUUAAUACCCUGGUUGAAUGACGGUACCCAAAGAAUAAGCACCGGCUAACUUCGUGCCAGCAGCCGCGGUA
rnacentral:rRNA from 1 species